AUGCACUUCCUGUACCAGCUAAGGAAGCUCAACCUGCCACAGGAGCUGCUGAUCCAGUUCUACACAGCAGUCAUUGUGCCUGUACUCAGCUCCUCCAUCACAGUCUGCUACUUGCACUGGAUCCGUCAGCCACCAGAGAGAGGACUGCAGUGGAUUGGGCGCAUCGGCUCUGGUACUGACGCUACCUUCUCAGAGUCCCUCAAGGGCCAGUUCUCCAUCACCAAAGACAGUUCCACAAACGCACUGUACCUGGAGGUGAAGAGCCUGAAGCCUGAAGACACUGCAGUGUAUUACUGUGCUAAAGACCCAUAG